CCUACGGGGGGCAGCAGUGGGGAAUAUUGCGCAAUGGGCGAAAGCCUGACGCAGCGACGCCGCGUGAGGGAUGAAGGUCUUCGGAUCGUAAACCUCUGUCAGCAGGGAAGAACGGUCACUGUGCUAAUCAGCAGUGAAUUGACGGUACCUGCAAAGGAAGCACCGGCUAACUCCGUGCCAGCAGCCGCGGUAAUACGGAGGGUGCGAGCGUUAAUCGGAAUUACUGGGCGUAAAGCGCUCGUAGGCGGUAUGUCAAGUCAAGGGUGAAAUCCCCGCGCUCAACGUGGGAACUGCCUUUGAAACUGGCAAACUGGAGUGUGUGAGAGGAGAGUGGAAUUCCAGGUGUAGGAGUGAAAUCCGUAGAUAUCUGGAGGAACAUCAGUGGCGAAGGCGACUAUCUGGAACAUAACUGACGCUGAGGAGCGAAAGCGUGGGUAGCAAACAGGAUUAGAUACCCCAGUAGUC
rnacentral:rRNA from 1 species